rnacentral:lncRNA from 1 species
GGAAAAUGAACCGGUUCUCUGGAUUUAUUCUAGUCAAACACAGAGCCAGGCUGAACAGGGCUUUUGCUGCUCCAUCUUUGAGUUCCUGGGCAACUAUGUGGCUCCCUGAGCUUUUGUUAAGAAAAGCAGAAGCACCAGGGCACCCAGAUCCUGACGGCAUGUGGUAGGUGGAGAUUGCUCUCCUGCCCUGCAAGUUGGGCAAAUAGGAUGAAAAUUUCUGCACGUUUGAAGGUGAAUUCCUGUAACACAAUCUUCACUUAUGUUUUUAUUAACACGUAAAACAUCUUUACCUCCACUGUCUUCUCUUCAUAAAAAGAGAGGAGGUCUUGCUGUGUUGCCCAGGCUGGUCUCAAACUCCUGGCCUCCAAGUGAUCCUCCUGCCUUGGUCUCCUAAAUCACUAGGAUUACAGAUAAACACUACAGAUUGCUACAGAUGAAUGCUACUGACAUGCUAAAGACUAUAUGACAAUUCCUUUUAAAGUCAGACACUCAAUUGUGAAAGAUGUGUGAACAAUCCAAUGAUGGAUGUCCGUUAGUUCAGUGCUGUCAAGCUGAGUUACUACUCCACAUCUCUGAUACUGAUGCUGUUUUUGCAGUCAUGAUUGAGUCGUUGAAGAAAAAAGCACUCUACAGAGUUCUGCCCAACUGUGUCCAAACAAGCAGCAACUUGAAAUAUCAUUGGCUUACUCAGCAGCAUCAGAACCCACAAAGCAAAGAGGUUAGAUCCAUCCAAGAGACUUUUCUGCAGCAGUAAAUGGAUUUGCCCUCUUUAGAGCAGGGAGCACAGCUCCAACACAAUUAUUCUUAUUGGAACAGACUAAGGAAUUUACUUCAAAUGAGGUUGUUGGUUGUCCUGUGAAAGCUGUGUCAGAAUAAAUAUUCAACUGCUCUUUGGAGGCAUAAUUUGUUAGCCCGUGAAUCAUUUGUGACCCAUGAGCUGCAUAUAGCUGACUUUGUUUAAAUGGAGGGAAAACUUCUUUCAUUCUAGCAAAACUUGUAUAAAGCUCAGGUAUAGAGAAAACACUUUAACGUUCAGUUCUUUCCAAAGGGGCCAUUUUUAUAUGCCAGAUGUCCUGA